GUGCAGGAAUAGUUACAAUGUAGCCUGUGCGGUGCUGCUUUGUCGUUCCCCCUGCAAAAAGUAACCUGUUUCCUCGCUAUCCUUGUCUGCCUACUUCUCCUGGCAGCCCGGGACGCAUGGUUUCAGACAC